AACACAAAGGAAAGAAAAGUUCGGAACAAAUCAAGAUUAGACAAAGAUGACAAAAAGCCCAAACAAUCUGAUGACAGGAGAGAUGUUGUCUUCCAACGUUCCCAUAAAUUAGCAUCAGGGAAGCAGAAUCGUGACAGGGGUUAUAUCAAUCAAAGAGUUCAAAGACGAAGUCAAUACAAUAUCAAUCCUGAAAGCAAUAACGCUUAUUAUUAUGAUAGACCCUUUAUGUCAUAUGGUGAGACGAGGUGGCCUUAUGUGGGAUUUUCUCCAUACACAUUCGGAUAUAAACGACACAGGAGGCCGGAUGAAUAUCAUCAUCAAAGAGGAAACACAUUCAGCUGGUCGGCUGACUGUUAAAUUGAACAACUAUCUGUAGUUAUCUCUAACAGAUUUAAGUAUACAAUAUUCAAAAAUAUAUAUCUUUUUAUAAUAUUAUUCAUAAUUCUAACCAACAUUAUCGUAUGGGUAAAUAGUUCUCAUUUUAACAUAUAUUUUUGUAUAUAUUUUUGUUAUUAUCUUAUAUGUUUUAACACAUGUAUACCUGACAUAGAAAUUAUAUAAUUUCAAUACAAUUAACCGGGGUACCAAGUUUACUACACCUGCUGUGCAUUUCGAAAAUAUUGUCUCUUUAAUUAUACUGAUUCAUCGUUCAAUCCUAACCAAUACUGCAUGGUUUGAUUUACAUAGUUCAUUUUUUGCUUUAGAGUUUUGGUAUAAACAAUACUUUAUUAUGAAAGUAAGAUAAGCAUUUGAAAACAAGUGAUUAUCACUUUUAGAUUUUAAAAUAUGAAUAACAUACAUGCAUACCCGCUGCAAUUGUUUGCACCUGUCCUAAGUCAUGAAUCUGAUGUUCAGUAGUUGUCGUUUGUUGAUGUGGUUCAUAAGUGUUUCUCGUUUCUCGUUUUUUAUAGAUUAGACCGUUGGUUUUCCCGUUUGAAUGGUUUUACACUAGUAAUUUUUGGGACCCUUUAUAGCUUGCUGUGCGGUGUGAGCCAAGGCUCAGUGUUGAAGACCGUACUUUGACCUAUAAUGGUUUACUUUUAUAAAUUGUGACUUGGAUGGAGAGUUGUCUCAUUGGCACUCAUACAACAUCUUCUUAUAUCUAUGUUAUAUAGUAUUUUACAAAAAAAAGUAUGUGUUGACUAAAAAUGACUAUACAAUAUCUACGACAAUCUAUGUAGCAUCAUUUCGAAAUAGACAAUGUUUUAAUGAAUUUGUUUGACUCUAUAUAAACGAAUUCAUAUUAGUGUACAUAAAUAUUUUAAUAAAAAUAUUGUAUUAAACAAGA